UUGUGUGGCAAAUACCUUUAAUCACUGAGCCAUCUUACUGGCCCACACCAGGUCUUUUAACGUGGAUGCUGGAGAUAGAACUCAGGUCCUUGUGCUUGCCAGACAUGCGCUUUACCUGCUGAGCCAUUCCUGUAGCUAGUAACUGUCUCCUUUCUUCUCUCACUGCAGUAGGCAACGGUCUGGUGGCUAGUAGCUCUGACUCGUCCAGCUCUGGCUCCAGCUCUGACUUGGAUGAACCUCCCAAUGUUCAGCCGGUCAAAGUGUCAUCUGCAGCAGCAGUCACCCCCACCAGCCCUGUGGACAGCAGUGGACUCAUCACUCAGGAAGGCGUUCAUAUUCCCUUUGAUGUCCACCAUGUGGAGAGCCUGGCUGAGCAGGGCACCCCACUGUGCCCCAACUCUGCAGGCAGUGGACCCGAGGCCCUGGAGACGGUGGUGUGUGUGCCAGUGCCCAUGCAAGUGGGCACCGGCCCUGGCACCCUCUUUGAGAAUAUGCCCCAAGAGGCUCUGGGCGAGGUGGUAGCCAGCUGCCCAGUGUCAGGCAUGGUACCUGGCUCCCAGGUCAUCAUCAUUGCCGGCCCUGGCUAUGAUGCCCUAACAGCUGAGGGCAUCCACCUCAAUGUGGCUGCAGGCAGUGGUACCCCCAGCAGCGGCCUGGGUGAGGAGGUGCCCUGUGCUAUGAUGGAGGGUGUGGCGGCCUACACCCAGACGGAGCCUGAGGGCAGCCAGCCCAGCACCAUGGACACCACCUCCAUAGCUGGCAUCGAAACCAAGAAAGGUCUCGGGGGUGCUACAGUGGGCACCAGCAGGGCAUGGGGGAGAGGAAGGAGUGGCCCUGGAAGGGAGCUCCUUGACAGCCUUGUCCCCACAGACACCACGCUGUGUCACUCAGUAGAGAAGGAGGAGAAAGAGGAUGCAGUGGCCCCAGAGCUGGCAGAGCUGGCAGCCACCAUGCAUGACAGCACAGAGCCCGAGGCAGAGGUGGACGGGGAGGAGUUGGACAGCAGUGACAUGUCAGCCAUCAUCUACGAGAUCCCCAAGGAACCUGAGAAGAGGCGGCGGAGCAAGCGGCCACGGGUGAUGGAUGCUGAUGGCCUGCUUGAGAUGUUCCACUGUCCCUACGAGGGCUGCAGCCAGGUCUACGUGGCUCUCAGCAGCUUCCAGGUGAGGCCACCCCCUGGGCUGGCCUGUUGCUGGGUCUGGCUGGUCUGGGAUGUGUGCCUUCAUGGAGGGCCCAGCAGGGGUGUCAUUUGUUGGACAUCUGCCACCAUGAGCCCUUUCACCCCAGCUGGCCUUGCUGUACAUCUGGCCCCUCAGCCUUCUUUCCCCACAGACACCAGCAUUUUCCAGGCCACCCUCUUGGCCUUCCACAGGAAGCCCACUUCAAUCCCUGGGUCCAAUCACAGGUGCCCUAGUUCCCUUCACCACCAGAACAUUAUUCCUAUAGUUUGUCUUCUGGAGUGUGGGCAGUGUCAGGGUCUUGUAUUGCCACAUAAAAGGCAGCACUGGGCCGGGCGUGGUGGCGCACGCCUUUAUUCCC
rnacentral:lncRNA from 1 species